rnacentral:rRNA from 1 species
UCGAGAAUCUUCCGCAAUGGGCGAAAGCCUGACGGAGCGACGCCGCGUGUAGGAUGAAGGCCCUCGGGUUGUAAACUACUGUCACGGGUUAUGAAUGUGCAUAUGUUAACAGCGUGUGUAUUGACGUAAGCCCGAAAGGAAGCACCGGCUAACUCUGUGCCAGCAGCCGCGGUAAUACAGAGGGUGCAAACGUUGUUCGGAAUUACUGGGCAUAAAGCGCGCGUAGGCGGCGACGUAAGUGUAGGGUGAAAUCCCACGGCUCACCCGUGUGAAUUGCCCCGCAUACUGCGUUGCUUGAGUGUGGUAGGGGAGAGCGGAACUCCUGGUGGAGCGGUGAAAUGCGUAGAUAUCAGGAGGAACACCGGUGGCGUAGGCGGCUCUCUGGUCCAUAACUGACGCUGAAGUGCGAAAGCUAGGGUAGCGAACGGGAUUAGAUACCCUCGUAGUCCCUGAGCGGGCUGGCAAGGCGCAU